CGUUUUGGCAUGCAUGAAUUUUGCGCAAAGUCAAAUUCAUGAUCGACUAUGGCUCAAUUGGACAAUAAGGUGCUAGACAGAUUGGAUAAUCUUAUUUGAUAAGAUAAUGAUAGAAAGAACACUAAUGGAAACAAAGCAACAAAAAAAAAUCAGACAAUGCUUUUUAUACGGAUUAUAAGAUUUUACCGACUGUAUUACCUUGUUCGUCAUGAUAAUUCUCCAGUACUUGAAUGAAAUGAGUAUUCGCGCCAACAAACUUUCCUCUACUAUCCUCUCUCAAACAGCGAAGGGCAUCGUUGAGCAGCGAUGUCGGUAGAAAAUCCGUCUUCAUAAAGCUCUAAAAUACCUUAUCCACAUACGUAUGUUCCAUAUGUACACACAAUAUGUGUAAAAAUAAGUAAAAAAAAGACCAUCAAGAAACCGAAGACUGUGUUCAAUGCCCAGUAAGCAACUGUAAGUUGCCAAGCAGGAUUCGGGCGGCGGAUUCACGUGUGUACAUACAUAGGUGUGCAAGCCCGCAAAAAAGAGACUAAAAAUUAACAGGGUAACAGAUGUGCAUGGGUAUGGGUGUGGAAAAAUAAAAAAUACGAAUAAGCCCCUGACGUGUCUCGUACCACGUGGCGUUACGAUGAGGUCACGCAACAAUUAUCACGAUCGAUAGUGUUUGUUUCGUGAAAACGGUAGGUAGGUGAUCUUCGCGUUCGAUUGGGUUUACUUAGCGAGGCGCGCCUGAAAAACAACAUUGGUAGACAUGUUGAAAUUUGCGUCGAUAUUAAACUACUGCACACUCAAGACUACUGCCCCCAAUGCCGAGUCCACAUUAUUCUCCUCACAAUUAUUUACCGAAUGCAUAAUAUCCUCCGAUAAGGGAUCUUAUCGGUAACCUUCGGUCACGUUACCACUUUCCUCGCACAUGACGUUCACGCACCUCGCGUGCGUGUCCGCGCUGUCAAAUUUGACUUGAAGGACUGAUCCUACAAUCCGAGCUCACGGUGUCAAAUCAGUGAAGUUGACGAACAGGAUAAUGACGGGGGGGGAAUUAUCGCAGGUAACUAACGGGCGAUUUUAAUCGAGUCUUCUAUUUCCUAAAUUAGCGCUAUCUCGUAGCGAUGUAAAUCCAACUGUGCUCGAUGCAAGCGUGCAUCGGCACCCGGCUACGGCUAUCAGCAUGUUCCGUAGCCACGGGGCGGGGCAACAAAAUGUGUUGCGAAAUAUUCAUACCACUGGAUUUAGUUACUAAGCGAAUCACUUCGAGCGCCACUAAGCGACUAUGCAGCGCAAUCUGUACGCUAAUAAAAGUCGUUGUUACCGGCGCGAAAUACAAAUUUUUUCAAAGUACCAAUCAUGUUUAUAUUAUUGUAACACAAAUGUAACACAUAAAAGACUUAUGAAUAAUUCUUGGUAAGAUCGUAGAAUUUUUAAAUCAUUUUGCGAUAUUUUCCCUCCACCCUUUUCACUUUUCAAAAUAAAUUUUUUUCUCAAUAGCAUAUUAUAUACCCGUGGAAACUCACAAUUAUUAGAUUAUUCGUUGAUGAUAAACUUGACACAUUUCAUAAACGAUACUGAAGCGAGGCGUGCAUACAUGAAUGAAAGAAUGCAGAAUUAAUGAAAGCGUAUUGUCGAAGGAAGGCAAACAAGUCGUGUGAGUCUACAAGAGUAAAAUAAAAACUUUGAAAUGUAUCAUUUCGAGGAAACAACUCUGAAUAACAUGCAUACACCCCAUACGUAUGUAGUAUGUAUAGGUAGAUAGAAUGUUUGUUUAAUGACACUAACAGAUGAUCCAAUAAAGUUUGUUGAAUAAAGUUCAAAUAUACAGCACUGUGUAAUUAACUUACAAUAACAAUCUUCAACACGAAUCAUGAAAAUAUUUGAUGUCCGUUGAAAAGCUACUACUACUAGUUACAAUAUUACCCAAUGCAUCAAAAAUUUAUUAAUAUGCAAAUUACUGCAUGGUUAAUUCAUACAUACAAUAAACCAUAGAAACCAGCGCAAGAGUAAAACAUUUACCACAUUGUUCAAAUGGGAAGGGAUAUAAGAUUUUCUAUUGUAAGAUGCAACAUGUUCAUUUUGCUCGAUACAUGGGAAACGGAAGAAAUCAUAUAUUGGACAGUUUAAUGCCAUACAAGAAUAAUGAUAACAUUAUAAUGGAAUAAUUCACGAAACGUGAAAUACAUUUGUAGACACUUGGCCUUCAUCAUCUUUUUAUGAAUAUAUUUUUUCUUUCUUUUACUUUUUAUCUUUGCUCCUAUCCA
rnacentral:lncRNA from 1 species